rnacentral:tRNA from 1 species
GGGGAUUUAGCUCAGUGGUAGAGCACUUGCCUAGCAAGCAAGGGCCUAGCAAGGCCCUGGGUUCGGUCCCCAGCUCUG